rnacentral:rRNA from 1 species
UACGAAGGGGGCUAGCGUUGCUCGGAAUCACUGGGCGUAAAGCGCACGUAGGCGGAUUGCUAAGUCAGGGGUGAAAUCCUGGAGCUCAACUCCAGAACUGCCUUUGAUACUGGCGAUCUCGAGUCCGGGAGAGGUGAGUGGAACUGCGAGUGUAGAGGUGAAAUUCGUAGAUAUUCGCGAGAACACCAGUGGCGAAGGCGGCUCACUGGCCCGGUACUGACGCUGAGGUGCGAAAGCGUGGGGAGCAAACAGG